rnacentral:rRNA from 1 species
AGCAGCCGCGGUAAUUCCAGCUCCAAUAGCGUAUAUUAAAGUUGUUGCAGUUAAAAAGCUCGUAGUUGAAUUUCGGGAUCAAUAUGUUGGUCGUGCCUCGGUACGUACUAGCAUAUUGGUUUCUCCUUUCUGAAGAACCAUGAUGUCAUUUAUUUGGUGUCGUGGGGAAUCAGGACUGUUACUUUGAAAAAAUUAGAGUGUUUAAAGCAGGCUCACGCUUGAAUACAUUAGCAUGGAAUAAUGAAAUAGGGCGUUUGAUUCUAUUUUGUUGGUUUCUAGGAUCGACGUAAUGAUUAAUAGGGAUAGUUGGGGGCAUUAGUAUUCAAUUGUCAGAGGUGAAAUUCUUGGAUUUAUUGAAGACUAACUACUGCGAAAGCAUUUGCCAAGGAUGUUUUCAUUAAUCAAGAACGAAAGUUAGGGGAUCGAAGACGAUCAGAUACCGUCGUAGUCUUAACCAUAAACUAUGCCGACUAGGGAUCGGAUGAUGUAAUUUUUUAAUGA